rnacentral:misc_RNA from 1 species
GUUGGGAACAGGAUGCAAUAACUGAUUGUGAAAGAACUUUAUAUAGCUUAAAUAACACAAAGGAAAACAGAGAAUGAAUUCUGCAAAUCAAACUAUAUUACUCUAUUCAAUAAGGUUGCAUUUGAAGAACAUUACGAUCGGGGAAUUUGCAGCGUACAGUAGUAGGUUCUGGGUCGGCUCUAUCUGAUCUGAUGCAAUCAAGGUUGCUGCUGUGCAUCCAUAUAGCCAGCGUCAAC